UACGGAGGGUGCAAACGUUGCUCGGAAUCAUUGGGCGUAAAGCGCACGUAGGCGGCCUGUUAAGUCGGGUGUGAAAGCCCUGGGCUCAACCCAGGAAGUGCACUCGAAACUGACAGGCUUGAAUAUGGAAGAGGGUCGCGGAAUUCCCGGUGUAGAGGUGAAAUUCGUAGAUAUCGGGAGGAACACCAGUGGCGAAGGCGGCGACCUGGGCCAAUAUUGACGCUGAGGCGCGAAAGCUAGGGGAGCAAACGGG
rnacentral:rRNA from 1 species